rnacentral:rRNA from 1 species
CAAUAGGCUAAUUAAGAGCGUAAGGGGAAUGCCUUGGCUCUCAGAGGCGAUGAAGGACGUGAUAAGCUGCGAUAAGCUUUGGGGAGUGGCACAAACACUUUGAUCCGAAGAUUUCCGAAUGGGGCAACCCGGCAUAUUGAAGAUAUGUCACACUGUAAAGUGAGCAAACCUGGUGAACUGAAACAUCUAAGUAACCAGAGGAAUAGAAAACAAAAGUGAUUCCGCUAGUAGUGGCGAGCGAACGUGGAACAGCCCAAACCUAUGUUGUUACGGCAAUAUAGGGGUUGUAGGACCUCAACAUUUAAUGCUAAAAGAACUAGAAUUUACUGGAAAGUAAAACCAUAGAAGGUGAUAGUCCUGUAUAGGUAAUUGAUGUAAUUAAUAGAGGUAUCCUGAGUAGUACGGGGCACGUGAAACCUUGUAUGAAACUGCCGGGACCAUCCGGUAAGGCUAAAUACUCCUGAGAGACCGAUAGUGAACUAGUACCGUGAGGGAAAGGUUAAAAGAACCCUGAAUAAGGGAGUGAAAUAGAUCCUGAAACCUUACGCUUACAAGCGGUCGGAGCACAAUUAAUGUGUGACGGCGUGCCUUUUGCAUAAUGAGCCUACGAGUUACCUUUGCUAGCAUGGCUAAUCCGUUAAGCGGAGCAACCGAAGCGAAAGCGAGUCUGAAUAGGGCGUUUAGUUAGCAGUGGUAGACGCGAAACCUAGUGAUCUAUCCAUGGGCAGGUUGAAGCUGUAGUAACAUACAGUGGAGGACCGAACCCGUUGACGUUGAAAAGUCUUGGGAUGACCUGUGGAUAGGGGUGAAAGGCCAAUCAAACUAGGAAAUAGCUCGUACUCCCCGAAAUGCAUUUAGGUGCAGCGUUAAAAUAAGUUUCAUAGAGGUAGAGCUACUGAUUGGAUGCGGGGGUUUCACCACCUACCAAUUCCUGACAAACUCCGAAUGCUAUGAAAUGUUUUUUAGCAGUGAGGGCAUGGGUGCUAAGGUCCAUGUCCGAGAGGGAAACAACCCAGAUCAUCAGUUAAGGUCCCAAAGUAUAUACUAAGUUGAAUAAACGAGGUUUGACUGCCCAGACAGCUAGGAUGUUGGCUUGGAAGCAGCCAUUCAUUUAAAGAGUGCGUAACAGCUCACUAGUCGAGCGGUCGAGCAUGGAUAAUAAUCGGGCAUAAGUAUAUCACCGAAACUAUGGCAAUAUUUAUAUUGGGUAGGGGAGCAUUCUAUUCUACGUUGAAGGUAAACUGUGAGGUUUGCUGGAGUGUAUAGAAACGAAAAUGUAGGCAUAAGUAACGAUUAGGGGUGCGAGAAACACCCCCUCCGAAAAACUCAGGUUUCCUCAGCUAUGCUAAUCAGCUGAGGGUUAGUCAGGACCUAACGCGAACCCAAAUGGGGUAGUGGAUGGACAACCAGUUAAUAUUCUGGUACCUGCAUAGCAAUAAACGUGACGGAAAAGCAAUGUCAUUGCGUACUGACAGAAUAGUACGUUGAAAUCACUGUUAAGGUGAUGAUAGUACACCGAUCCUUCGGGUGAGGUGAUAAUAUGACGGACCUUUUUCCAAGAAAAACAAGCUAUGCAGCCUGUACUGUAAACCGACACAGGUAGUUGGGAUGAGGAUUCUAAGGAGCUCGAGAGAUUCAUGGCUAAGGAACUAGGCAAAUUUGACCCGUAACUUCGGGAGAAGGGUCGCCUACUUUUAGUAGGCCGCAGUGAAAAGGUCCAAGCGACUGUUUAUCAAAAACACAGGACUCUGCUAAGUCGAAAGACGAUGUAUAGGGUCUGACACCUGCCCGGUGCUGGAAGGUUAAGUGGAGAUGUUAGCAUUUAUUUGCAAAGCAUUGAAAUGAAGCCCCAGUAAACGGCGGCCGUAACUAUAACGGUCCUAAGGUAGCGAAAUUCCUUGUCGGGUAAGUUCCGACCUGCACGAAUGGUGUAACGAUUUGGACACUGUCUCAGCCAUGAGCUCGGUGAAAUUGUAGUAGCGGUGAAGAUGCCGCUUACCCGCCACGGGACGAAAAGACCCCGUGCACCUUUACUAUAGCUUCGUAUUGAUAUUGGAUAAGUAAUGUGUAGGAUAGGUGGGAGACUUUGAUUGAGCGUCGCCAGGCGUUUUUGAGUCGUUGUUGAAAUACCACCCUUUGCUUCUCUGAUAUCUAACCCUUUUUGGGAACAGUGCGUGGUGGGUAGUUUGACUGGGGUGGUCGCCUCCAAAAGAGUAACGGAGGCUUCUAAAGGUACCCUCAACACGGUCGGUAAUCGUGUGUAGAGUGCAAUGGCAUAAGGGUGCUUGACUGAGAGACUGACAAGUCGAUCAGGUUGGAAACAAGAGCAUAGUGAUCCACUGGUUCCGCAUGGAAGGGCCAGUGCUCAAAGGAUAAAAGGUACGCCGGGGAUAACAGGCUGAUCUCCCCCAAGAGCUCAAAUCGACGGGGGGGUUUGGCACCUCGAUGUCGGCUCGUCACAUCCUGGAGCUGGAGAAGGUUCCAAGGGUUGGGCUGUUCGCCCAUUAAAGUGGCACGCGAGCUGGGUUCAGAACGUCGUGAGACAGUUCGGUCUCUAUCUGUGGUGGGCGUUAGAAAUUUGAGAGGAUCUGUCUUCAGUACGAGAGGACCGAGAUGGACUGACCUCUAGUGUACCGGUUGUUCCGCUAGGAGCAUCGCCGGGUAGCUAUGUCGGGAAUGGAUAAGCACUGAAAGCAUCUAAGUGCGAAACCAACCUCAAGAUGAGAUUUCUUUUAAGGGUCGUUGGAGACUACAACGUUGAUAGGUCACAAGUGUAUAGGCAGUAAUGUCAGAGCUGAGUGAUACUAAUUACCCGUAAGCUUAUUGUA